rnacentral:rRNA from 2 species
CAGGUUUACCUGUGUGACUGCGUACCUUUUGUAUAAUGGGUCAGCGACUUAUAUUCUGUAGCAAGGUUAACCGUAUAGGGGAGCCGUAGGGAAACCGAGUCUUAACCGGGCGUUAAGUUGCAGGGUAUAGACCCGAAACCCGGUGAUCUAGCCAUGGGCAGGUUGAAGGUUGGGUAACACUAACUGGAGGACCGAACCGACUAAUGUUGAAAAAUUAGCGGAUGACCUGUGGCUGGGGGUGAAAGGCCAAUCAAACCGGGAGAUAGCUGGUUCUCCCCGAAAGCUAUUUAGGUAGCGCCUCGUGAAUUCAUCUCCGGGGGUAGAGCACUGUUUCGGCUAGGGGGCCAUCCCGGCUUACCAACCCGAUGCAAACUGCGAAUACCGGAGAAUGUUAUCACGGGAGACACACGGCGGGUGCUAACGUCCGUCGUGAAGAGGGAAACAACCCAGACCGCCAGCUAAGGUCCCAAAGUCAUGGUUAAGUGGGAAACGAUGUGGGAAGGCCCAGACAGCCAGGAUGUUGGCUUAGAAGCAGCCAUCAUUUAAAGAAAGCGUAAUAGCUCACUGGUCGAGUCGGCCUGCGCGGAAGAUGUAACGGGGCUAAACCAUGCACCGAAGCUGCGGCAGCGACGCUGAUGCGUUGUUGGGUAGGGGAGCGUUCUGUAAGCCUGUGAAGGUGGCCUGUGAGGGUUGCUGGAGGUAUCAGAAGUGCGAAUGCUGACAUAAGUAACGAUAAAGCGGGUGAAAAGCCCGCUCGCCGGAAGACCAAGGGUUCCUGUCCAACGUUAAUCGGGGCAGGGUGAGUCGACCCCUAAGGCGAGGCCGAAAGGCGUAGUCGAUGGGAAACGGGUUAAUAUUCCCGUACUUGGUGUUACUGCGAAGGGGGGACGGAGAAGGCUAUGUUGGCCGGGCGACGGUUGUCCCGGUUUAAGCGUGUAGGUGUGUGUUCCAGGUAAAUCCGGUUCACUUUAACACUGAGGCGUGAUGACGAGGCACUACGGUGCUGAAGCAACAA